AAUGGGGGAAACCCUGACGCAGCCAUGCCGCGUGAGUGAGGAAUGCCUUCGGGUUGUAAAGCUCUGUCCUAAGGGAAUAAGGCAUUAUGGUUAAUAGCCAUAGUGUUUGAAGGUACCUUAGAAGAAAGCACCGGCUAACUUCGUGCCAGCAGCCGCGGUAAUACGAAGGGUGCAAGCGUUGUUCGGAUUUACUGGGCGUAAAGCGCGCGCAGGCGGAUUGGUAAGUCAGAUGUGAAAUCUCGGGGCCCAACCCCGAAACUGCGUCUGAAACUAUCAAUCUAGAGUCUCGGAGAGGGAAGGGGAAUUUGAUGUGUAGGGGUAAAAUCCGUAGAGAUAUCAAGGAACACCAGAGGCGAAGGCGCCUUCCUGGACGAGAACUGACGCUGAGGCGCGAAAGCGUGGGGAGCAAACAGGAUU
rnacentral:rRNA from 1 species